rnacentral:rRNA from 1 species
GGUGAACGCUGGCGGCGUGCUUAACACAUGCAAGUCGAACGAGAAGUGAAGACGGAAACCUUCGGGCGGAAGGCUUUAUUUCGAGUGGCGGACGGGUGAGUAACGCGUGGGUAACCUGCCUCAUACAGGGGGAUAACAGUUGGAAACGACUGUUAAUACCGCAUAAGACCACAGCACCGCAUGGUGCGGGGGUAAAAACUCCGGUGGUAUGAGAUGGACCCGCGUUCGAUUAGCCAGUUGGCGGGGUAACGGCCCACCAAAGCGACGAUCGAUAGCCGAUGUGGGGGGAGGCCCGGCAACAUUGGGACGGGGCCAGGGCCCAAACCCCUGGGGGGGGCAGCAGGGGGGAAAUUGGCAAAUUGGGGGAAACCCUGAGGCAGCGCCGCCGGGUGAGGAAAAAAGUAUUUGGGUAUGAAAAGCUCUAUCAGCAGGGAAGAAAAGGACGGUACCGGAGUAAGAAGCCCCGGCAAACUACGG